rnacentral:tRNA from 1 species
GUGGUGGCUCAGCGGUAGAGUGCUUGCCUAGCAUGCAUGAAGCACUGGAUUCGAUCCCCGGCACCACA